CCUCAACAUCAACUCCUGCCCACGGUUCCUGCCAACUACUCAAAUAUUGACACCAUCGUCACUCACAUAGGUUUUAAUGACCUUCGUUUUAGGCGAUCUGAGGAACUGAGGGAGGACUACAAACAUGUUUUACACCCUCGCUAGCACAGGGAAGAUAAUAAUAAUCUCUGACCCCCUCCCAUGUUACCGAAGGGGUUUGGAAUGUUUCAGCCGACUCUUUGCCCUGAACGAGUACCUGAAGAAACUUUGCAACUGACGGACAGAGUCGGUAGUGCUCCAGUUCUCCCUGUCAGAAUAAGCAACAGAGGACUUGGAAACCAUAUCAACUCCUGUAGAAAUGGCACUUUACAGUCUUGUCUCAUCGCUGCAAGUCCUGUACGGACACGGGAGAGGCAAAGGUCGAGAGUCAUGCGUCCGCCGAAACACAACCCAACCAAGCCGCACUGCUUCUUGACACAAUACCCACUUAACCCGGAAACCAGCCGC
rnacentral:lncRNA from 1 species